UUGAACGCUGGCGGCAGGCUUAACACAUGCAAGUCGAGCGGGGGAAGGGUGCUUGCACCUGGACCUAGCGGCGAACGGGUGAGUAAAGCUUAGGAAUCUGCCAUUUAGAGGGGGACAACAUUCCGAAAGGGAUGCUAAUACCGCAUACGCCCUAAGGGGGAAAGCAGGGGACCGCAAGGCCUUGCGCUAAAUGAUGAGCCUAAGUCGGAUUAGCUAGUUGGUGGGGUAAAGGCCUACCAAGGCGACGAUCUGUAGCGGGUCUGAGAGGAUGAUCCGCCACACUGGGACUGAGACACGGCCCAGACUCCUACGGGAGGCAGCAGUGGGGAAUAUUGGACAAUGGGGGGAACCCUGAUCCAGCCAUGCCGCGUGUGUGAAGAAGGCCUUAUGGUUGUAAAGCACUUUAAGCGAGGAGGAGUCUUGUACUACUAAUACUGGUAUUAAGAGGACGUUACUCGCAGAAUAAGCACCGGCUAACUCUGUGCCAGCAGCCGCGGUAA
rnacentral:rRNA from 1 species